GUUUUAAUAGUUUAUAAAAAAUAUUGGUCUUGUAAACCAAUGAUGAAUUCUUUCUUGAAACU
rnacentral:tRNA from 1 species